rfam:Operophtera brumata OBRT01_Sc01107, whole genome shotgun sequence.
CGUUCUAUGGCCGAAUUGGUAAAGGCUUCGCCGGUCACAGGCGAGGUUGCGGGUUCGAGUCCGGCUGGAACGA